rnacentral:misc_RNA from 1 species
CGAAAUGCGAUAAGUAAUGUGAAUUGCAGAAUUCAGUGAAUCAUCGAAUCUUUGAACGCACCUUGCGCUCCUUGGUAUUCCUUGGAGCAUGCCUGUUUGAGUAUCAUGAAAUCUUCAAAGUAAAUCUUUUGUUAACUCAAUUGGUUUCUACUUUGGUAUUGGAAGUCUUUGCAGCUUCACACCUGCUCCUCUUUGUUCAUUAGCUGGAUCUCAGUGUUAUGCUUGGUUCCACUCGGCGUGAUAAGUUAUCUAUCGCUGAGGACACUGUAAAAGGUGGCCAAGGUAAAUGCAGAUGAACCGCUUCUAAUAGUCCAUUGACUUGGACAAUACUUUUAUGAUCUGAUCUCAAAUCAGGUAGGACUACCCGCUGAACUUAAGC